AUCUGUAAAAGCCUACAAAUGAUCAACGGAGACAUGUUUUUUCGUCACAUUUCAAAUUUGCAUACAAAGUGAGUAAUCUGUUGUUGAUAAGCCGACGAAUAAAAGGUCAAGCGAUUUUACAGUUUUCUAUCAUAAUUGUGUGGCAAAUCUGAGCCCACUUUUCAACAGCAACCGAAAUUCAUAUCAAUUAGUUCAUUGUGACUGUCAAUUGAAAGCGUUUGAGUGUUCGAUAGUGAAAAAAUUUGUGGGAAAAAAAUCAGCUGCCAGAUUUAUGUGGUGAUGUAAAGUGAUUGACAGUAACUUUAAACAAAUAAUAUGUACCAUAGAACGAUUCCAAAAUAAAUGAGCAGAACUUUAUUUUAAUCGAUGGAUUCGACUUUAAUAAAUAUUUGUCGUGUAUAGAAGAAUUACAAGGAUAUGUUAAACAAACAACCCAAUGGCCAAUUGAUGUACCAAUUCAUGAUAGACCACCAGCAACAAAAGGCACGGCCAAGAAAAUAUCAUAUGGCGGUGGAGAUGUUUCAUUUGCCGGAAAUCUUGGUGGAGAUUUCGGUGGAUAUUUUGGUGAUGAUUUUGGUGGAGACAGGGACGAGGGAGAUAACGAUGUCAUUCAAUUUUAUGAUAGAACCAGUGAUAUUCUUCAAAUAAUUUAAAACAAAGAUAUUAUUACCUGUUCCAAAAUUUGCUGCAUUUAAAUCCGUGUACGAAUUUCUUAAUUCAUAUAAAUGAAUGGUUUAAAGCAAUGAAUUUCUAAUUUGUAAAACAUUGAAUAAAUAAUUGUUAAGUCUUUAACUUGGUGCUCCAAAUUUGAUGAUUGCAUCUCAAGAAAAAGAUUCAGAAAUGGAUUUAUACUCAAGUUGGCGCCGAAGUUCAAACUCACCUUUCUGUUGAAUUGUCUGAGAAUUCCCUCUUUAGAUGGAAUUGAAUGUGCUAUGGGACAGCAUUCGGAAUUGCUUUUAGAGCUCUUCGUGUUCUUCGAGUACGUAUUCACCUUCUGGUAACACAUCAUCACAGUAAUGGGCGGCUACGGUGCACAGUUCAAUAUCGAUAUCAUCGGAAAUUUUCUCUUGCUGCAACAACUUAAGUACAUCAUCUUCAUGGUCUUCCAACACUUCCAAGCACUGCAAUGAUGGAAAUAUUCGAAAUAUUCGUUAUUCACAAAUUCACCAUUCGAACAUAAAAAACGAUUGAUUUUUUCCUCAAGUUGCUUGUUAAAAAUAAAAAGAAACUCACAAAAUGCUUCAAGCUCUUGUUCAAAUCACCGUCCUGAAUGAAAUCAACGGAGCUCAUUUCUGGAUUCAUGCCACCAUCUGGUGUAGUCAAUUUCAUUAUUGUCAAUUUGCCAUUCGAUUUGUAACGUGCCUUAGCAUAAUCAUCCAAUUUAUCACCUGAUUGAAAUGUGAACGAAAUAUUUUGAUUUCACAGAUUCUAGUUUCACUGAUAUUGCGAUAUGUGUCAAUCAAAUGGUGUACUUACAAAUGCUUUCCAUCAGAUCGGUUAAAUAGGUUUCUGAUUUCGAAAGUUGUACGAAUUUUUUACGAGCAUUGCCAGCUGUAUCCAGACUAUAGCCACCGAUUUCGACCGUUUUCUUUGGAUCCACUUUACUGAUGUCUGUGAGCAUUUCAUCUAACGUAGCUUUGCACACUGUAAACAGAAUAAAGCGGGAACACCGAUUAAAACUGGUUAUUGACCUGUCUCAAACUGGACUGUAACACAUAGUUCACUGGAAUGAUUUGAGCAAAAUAGAACAAACCUAAACAUUUCACUGCCCUGGAAUCAGCGGCUUUGUGUGUUUCAUCGAUCAUCGGUGGAACUUGGUCAAAGUCUUGAGCUGUGACCAUGAAACUGGCAAAUAAAACGAAGGCUAAUACCGAAAAAUAUACCAUGAUUGUCUUCAUUUUGUGUGUGUGUGCCGGCUGUUGAAAAAAAAAUAUAAUUAAAUUCUCAGUGAACUGCAGAGACGCGACACCAAGUACGACACGUACUUCAAAUGGUUUACCAUAAAACUAAUUAAAAAUUCAACUAAAAAUAAUCGCAACACUGGCACAGAAUGAUUUUGAUUCGAUCAGAUGAAAGUGUAACAUGUGAGCCAAAAUCGUAUAAGCAAACUUCUGUUUAAAUUAUACUGGCACCUUCAUUUAUUCAGGCCAAUCUACUCUUUCACACAACGUUUAGUUCAUUUGGUGAACAAAUAAAAAUUUAACACGUUUCAAAUCGUUUCGGUUUUUACGAUAAUAAAUUUACACACAGUUUUCUUUAUCUCUAACAAUCGAAGCACACGUCAACGUAUAAUAAUUGUUGUCGGCCAGUCGCUGUCAUACCAAAUGUCAGAAGUACACGCACACCGAAGAAGAACAUUUGUAAUGUGUCUGUAUGGGACCGGCUAUUACGUCUGUGUAAUGUGCUAUGAUGUUGUAGCGGCAGUCAAUGAAUUCAGCAUGAGUUCAGCUGGUGCUUGUAUGCGUGUGCUGGCAUUUGACUGUCAUUCCGACAGAGUGCGAACAGUGUAUUUGGAAUUGUGGAUACAACAACAAUAACAAAGCGAAGCUCUAACGACUUCUUAAUGCCACUAUACAGACUAUACGCACAUCGCACACACGACGUAAACAAUUUGCUUGGAUAGAAACGAUUAUGAAUAUGAUACAAUGCACAAGAGAAACAUGCAUGAUCCAAACAAACCAAUUUUGUUUGUAUUUUGAUGAGUAAGACGUCGAUACAUUCAUUUGAAUUUUGCGGUUUGGAAUUUGCCUCGAAUAUUGCACAUAGGCGAAUAUACGUAUUCUUUGAAUACAAACAUUUUUUUCUUAGUUUUAAUGAAAAUUUGAAUCAUUUUUUUUAACGAAUUCAAUGUAUGGAGAGAAAAUUGAACGUUAGCGGCUAUUUUUAAGCCCAAGAGCAAAAUCAACGUAUGUCAAUGACAAAAUAAUAUCUAUUUUGUUCUACUUAAAUCACCUUGGUCGUUGAUGAAGCUUCAAAUUAGUAAGCCGUUGGUAAAUUUAUCAAGCGUUAAUCAUGUAUGGGAACUUAGAACUUUGCAAUUUAUUUCAGAUCAUUUUUUUUCUCUUUUGUUUUUGAUCUAGUUGCCGUCGUUGAUUGUUCCACGUAAUUUUGUUGUUUGCUCGUUUUUUUCACUUUCUUUCUUUAAAAUUCAUAGUGCUGAAGAUUAGAAUCAAACAUCAACAGAUAUUAUAUGCCAUUAAUAAAAAUUAGAUAAUAUAAUUCAUUGCUUCAAUUAGUUUGUUUGAUUGGGACGUGGAAAAUGACCGAAGCGCAUUUAUUGUUCGGUUUCAUAUAAUUUCGAUUUGGGGAUCGAGCAUGUGAGAAUUUCGGCAAUCGUCAUAAUUUGUUUUUAUUGUUGUUAGUUCAAAAAGACGAAGAAAAAAACUGAAAAUGAGCGCUUGGCGUAAUCAAACAGGAAAUACAAUUUAUAAGGUUCUUUUUCUCUCUCAUUCUGUAUGGCUAUUACACCCAUUAGACGGAAUUUCUUUUCUUGCCACAAUUUGUUUACCUUCGUGGUCGAUGUAUGUAAUUUGGUUGUUCAAACAAAUGAAGUGUAAGCAUAUUUAGUGGAAUUUAAAUACCUAUCCGAAAAUCAUUCCAAACAUCAAUUUAUGUGAAGAACACUGAAAACAUACAAAUGCUUUGCAGCGGAAGAAAAAGUAAAUUCAAGUGAUUUGAAUGUUUCUUUGUUUCAAAAAUGCUGAAGAAAAAAAAAGUGACAAUGAGAAAUUUUGGGCUCGAAAAAAUUGAGCCAUUUGAGAUUCAUUGUCACUCUUUAACUUUCCCGAAAUGAUGAAAAUGGUUUUGUAAAGAUUCAAAUCUCAUUUCCGGCCGAUGUAAUAACUCAUUUGGAAGAAUUAGGUAUUCAUUUAAUACGAUUCUUAAUAUUGAGUGUUUGAUGUGCAUUUUUUUUAGUUCAUGUGGAUAUUACUUCGAUUUCGAUUGAAAUGACAAUCAUUUGCUGAAUUAAAUAUUGGUUCUUUAUUGAGGCAUUUGUAGCGCAUAUACUGUACGUUUGCUAUCUUCAGGUGUCAUAGUACAUACUUCAAACAUUCUUCAAUGUUUCAACGAUUCUAGAGCUUAUCAAUCAAUUAGAAUAUAUUAAACUUUGAAUGUAAGAAUCGAAAACAUUGAAUUUGAUUAUAAUUGCCUUCGAACUCGGGGAAACCCACAUACUGUUACAGUGGACUACGUAAUAAGUUUGAUACGUAUGUAGAACGGGUGACAAUUCAUGUACGAUUAUUUUGUGUGACGAUUUCCUGUAAUAUCAAUAUCAAUAUAAAUGUGAAUUGUUUAUAUAGCAAAUAUAGAUGAUUAUUCACCACCGUCUACCACGCCGUUAAGAAGUCAUUCAUUCCAUAAUAUUUUCAUUAGUUUUACAACCUUUGUGCCUAAUAGACGUAAACAUUGUGUUUAUUUCGUAUCAAUGUCUUGGACGACUUUGAUUUAUCAGUGUGAAACAAAUAUAUUACACGUGGCGUUAGAUAAGAUGGCGAUGUUAGAAAGAUUGCUCAUCGUUCCAAUGAUGGCAUUGCAUUUACAUCCAUCGCUACAAGCAUCCACUGAACAAAUCCAUGACAAUGUGAUGCUAGAAAGCCUUCAACAUACAAACGACUAUAGCAGGGACCAUUAUCGAACAUCCUAUGGAACUGAUGAUAGAAAUGUUCAGAAGGUGGACCCUUUAUAUUGGCAGAACAAAGCCCACGACUAGGGCAUUUCUCACGAAAAGAAUGAAUGAAUUCUUAUAAAUUUUGAAAAAUUUCUUCCGUUCGGUUCGAUUCGAUCAAUUUUUAUCAAUUCGUGUAAAUAAAUGUUCAUUUACACUGAACAUGUGUUCUGGAAGUGGGUUUUGGUGGAUCUCAAGGAUUGUUCAGAACUGCUCCCGGUUCUGGAAGUGGAUCUUCAGGAUGGGCCAGGGCAUUGUCAAACCGGAUCUGGUCCAUCUUGAGAUCCACUAAAACCUACUUCCAGAACACUUUUAUUCAAGCAAUAUCGUUAUUUCAGUACAUUUUCUUACAAUUUCAAUAAAAAAGAAGAAAUAAUAAACAUUUUUGCACAUUUGUUCAGAUUGUUUGUGUGAGAAAUACCCCUAGCCUACGAUGGAGUUAAAAAUGUUGCAACCGAUUUUUGGUGGGAUUUGGGAAACGAUAAACUUGGAUAUGCUGUAACGGUAAUCGUCAGAACGACAGCUGGUGUCCUGGGUGGUAUUGCUGGUGGUCCGUUUGGGAUGAUAG